rnacentral:rRNA from 1 species
AUUGAACGCUGGCGGCAUGCCUUACACAUGCAAGUCGAACGGCAGCACGGGAGCAAUCCUGGUGGCGAGUGGCGAACGGGUGAGUAAUGUCUCGGAACGUGCCUAGUCGUGGGGGAUAACGCAGCGAAAGCUGUGCUAAUACCGCAUACGAUCUGUGGAUGAAAGCGGGGGAUCGCAAGACCUCGCGCGAUUGGAGCGGCCGAUAUCAGAUUAGCUAGUUGGUGGGGUAAAGGCUCACCAAGGCGACGAUCUGUAGCUGGUCUGAGAGGACGACCAGCCACACUGGAACUGAGACACGGUCCAGACUCCUACGGGAGGCAGCAGUGGGGAAUUUUGGACAAUGGGCGCAAGCCUGAUCCAGCAAUGCCGCGUGCAGGAUGAAGGCCUUCGGGUUGUAAACUGCUUUUGUACGGAGCGAAAAGGCUCUCUCUAAUACAGGGGGCUCAUGACGGUACCGUAAGAAUAAGCACCGGCUAACUACGUGCCAGCAGCCGCCGUAA